GCUACAUUAUGCGGUGUCUUCUGUGUCUACCAAAACAAACGGACAUUUCAGCAUUCAAGAACUCAACAUCUAACUUGAGGAAACAUGUAGCGAGGAUUCACCCCAACAAACUGGCAAAGUACACAGACUUACUAGAGAACCACAGAAAGCGUUCAAUCCAGCUGAAAAUGGGUUUUUGGUCGAGUAUGCUGCUGU